rnacentral:rRNA from 1 species
CGGGUGAGUAACACGUGGGUGAUCUGCCCUGCACUCUGGGAUAAGCCUGGGAAACUGGGUCUAAUACCGGAUAGGACCAUGCUUUAGUGUGUGUGGUGGAAAGUUUUUCGGUGUAGGAUGAGCCCGCGGCCUAUCAGCUUGUUGGUGGGGUAAUGGCCUACCAAGGCGGCGACGGGUAGCCGGACUGAGAGGUUGGUCGGCCACAUUGGGACUGAGAUACGGCCCAG